rnacentral:rRNA from 1 species
AACGAACGCUGGCGGCAGGCCUAACACAUGCAAGUCGAACGCUGUAGCAAUACAGAGUGGCAGACGGGUGAGUAACACGUGGGAAUCUUCCUAUCGGUACGGAAUAGCUCAGGGAAACUUGGGGUAAUACCGCAUACGCCCUUCGGGGGAAAGAUUUAUCGCCGAUAGAUGAGCCCGCGUCUGAUUAGCUAGUUGGUGAGGUAAUGGCUCACCAAGGCGACGAUCAGUAGCUGGUCUGAGAGGAUGACCAGCCACACUGGGACUGAGACACGGCCCAGACUCCUACGGGAGGCAGCAGUGGGGAAUAUUGGACAAUGGGCGCAAGCCUGAUCCAGCCAUGCCGCGUGAGUGACGAAGGUCUUCGGAUUGUAAAGCUCUUUUGGCGGGGACGAUAAUGACGGUACCCGCAGAAUAAGCCCCGGCUAACUUCGUGCCAGCCGCCGCCGUAACAC